UUACAACUUUCAGCAAUGGAUCUCUUGGCUCUCGCAUCGAUGAAGAACGCAGCGAAACGCGAUAUGUAAUGUGAAUUGCAGAUCUACAGUGAAUCAUCGAAUCUUUGAACGCACCUUGCGCUCCUUGGUAUUCCGAGGAGCAUGCCUGUUUGAGUGUCAGU
rnacentral:rRNA from 1 species